AGAGUCCAGAAAGCCUUCCUCGUCGGCGGCUCGUCGGCCACGGGCUAGAGGUCUUUCCGAGCAUUUUUGAGAGGUGGAAGCUUGAUUUCCCGAGGGCGGGAAGAGAUGCGGCGGAGAAGGAAGGGCUAUCGCCGGCGCGGGGAGGACGAGGCAGGAGGUGGAGCGGCAGGCUUGCAACCAGUGAGCGGAGCUGUGGAUGCGGUGACCCACCGUCAUCGUUGCCGUCAAGAAUCAGAUUCCGACGCAUCAUUCCACCCCGUCUUCUCCUUGGGAUUCCUGCGACGACAGGCCUGCGAGGGUGAUCAGAGAUGCAUUCUCAAUGACGAGGGCCAAUGGAGGAAGCCGGACCCGACAUGGCCCCCUUCCAAGGAGAGACGGGAAGAAGUUCAGAAGGGGUCUGGCCGACUGAGAGGCGGCGAAGAGGAAGCUCGGCGGUGAGGCCGACAGAGGGCGGGAAGAAAAUG
rnacentral:lncRNA from 1 species